UACAGAGGUCUCAAGCGUUGUUCGGAUUCAUUGGGCGUAAAGGGUGCGUAGGCGGCGCGGUAAGUCGGGUGUGAAAUCUCGGAGCUUAACUCCGAAACUGCAUUCGAUACUGCCGUGCUUGAAGACUGGAGAGGAGACUGGAAUUUACGGUGUAGCGGUGAAAUGCGUAGAUAUCGUAAGGAAGACCAGUGGCGAAGGCGGGUCUCUGGACAGUUCCUGACGCUGAGGCACGAAGGUCAGGGGAGCAAACGGG
rnacentral:rRNA from 1 species